AAGUCGUAACAAGGUCUCCGUUGGUGAACCAGCGGAGGGAUCAUUACAGAGUUCUCGCAACUCCCAAUACCCCCUGUGGACAUACCAUAUCGUUGCCUCGGCGGCGGUGCCUCGCGUACCCCCGCCGGCGGCCCCCCAAACAAAACUCAUGUUUAGUUACUUGAAUUCUGAACUUAUAACAAGAAAAUACGUUAAAACUUUCAACAACGGAUCUCUUGGUUCUG
rnacentral:misc_RNA from 1 species